rnacentral:tmRNA from 1 species
GUCAUGAAUCUCGCUUCGGAUGCAUGCAGGGCUUUCUCCGUGCAGCUCUUUAAAAAGUGUGGAGAACCAAAACUGCCAACUCAAACGAAUUGGCUCUCGCUGCUUAAUUAGGCACCGAGCGUCUCGCCGCAAGUUGCUCAUGCGCGCGGAGCGAGAUGUCACUUAGAUGAGCUGGCCCGCCCCGACUGUUCGCGGGGGCGGGCGAGAACCAAGCCGGACUAGCUUCCCACGGAGGUCUUCGUCGCUUCACUUACUCCGUAGGAAGCGAAGCUAAAAAAAGAGAAGCGUCUAAGCAUGUAGAUUCCGGCGUGGUCGGCUUUUGGAUCAGGGUUCAAUUCCCUGCGCCUCCACUU